CAAAACAAUCGUUGCGUCACUACUUGUUCAAAGAUGGCUGUUCGAUAGUGAUUGGAGUGGUGCUCUUGUUCUUAACACUUUUGGUUCUGUGAUUUUUAAUGUUUACUCAAAUUAAUGCAUAAAAAUAAUGUUAUCAGCUAUAGUAUCACGUUUAAUAAUACUGCUGUUUGGAACACUCUACCCCGCCUACGCAUCCUACAAAGCUGUUAGAACGAAAAAUGUCAAAGAAUAUGUGAAAUGGAUGAUGUACUGGAUCGUAUUUGCACUUUUUACAUGUGCAGAGACUUUUACAGAUGUAUUCCUAAGUUUCUGGUUCCCGUUCUACUAUGAAAUCAAGGUGGUGUUGGUAUUUUGGUUGCUGUCUCCAGCAACCAAGGGCUCCAGUAUACUCUACCGCAAUUUCGUACAUCCAGCGCUCAUCAAGAGAGAGCAGGAGAUCGAUGAGUAUAUCAGCAAAGCCAAGGAACAGGGAUAUCACACCAUGCUACAUCUGGGGUCCAAGGGUGUGACCUACGCUACGAGUAUGAUCAUGCAGACUGCCAUAAAGGGAGGUGGUGGCAUAGUGAACCACUUGCGGCGUAGCUACAGCCUUAGUGACGUCACAGGUGAACCUGAGCUCAAGUCUGAUAUGAAUCGUAACAGUAAACUGCAAGGUGACACUGUCGACUCAGCCGAUGUUCCUAGAGAUCCUCGAAUGAGGGCUCAACGCAUGCCCCCCGGAGGCAGCCACGUAGAUCUUUACUUCCCAGAAAUGGAUGUUGACAUUCGCUCACAUCCACAUUCCCAUGAGCUCCCAGUGAAAUUGAGCCAGAUCAGAUCUACCGAGGACAUCAGUUCCGGCUACUCCAGCGCUGAACCACUAUAUGGAGAUAGUCAAGUGGUGGGGGAAGGUGGGAAUCCGCUCACUCGAACUGCCUCUGUCGGGGCCACCAGACCCCGCCCUCGUCCCACCCGCACCACUCAAACUAAGAAGGCUUUAGCUGAGGAAGGGGCCGAUGACUUCGGUGCCGAGAGUGGGUGGCCACAAGCCUUUCCCCCCCUCCCUCUCGCUUCCUUGUUUCCAGAACUAUUCAAUCAGGAAUCCUCUGGACUCCCCCCUCAGGCAUUCCUCUCUCCAGAAGCUUUACAACUAAUACUCUCCAAUUCCUUAUAUAGAGGUCAAAUGCCUCAUAACAUCAACGAACUUGGUAACGAAGAAGAGGUAUCGAUAAUCAGGUCUGAAAUCUUUGAGGACGUUUCCUUUGAAGGUGCUCAACAAAGUUCUUUUGAAAAUUCUAAUGUAAUCACAGAACCAAGCAAUAUUAAAAAUGAUAGAACUUUAACUAAAAUAGAUGAGCUUGUAUCACUUGAAACUGAUUGUAACGUUAAUGAAAGAAAAAUUGAUGAUUAUGUUGGAGAUUUAACUAAUCAAACGCCUUUUGAACCUGAGUCAAGUUUAAAUGCAGAUACUGAUAAAGCUCAGGAUUUAGUUAGGGCAUUUCCAGAAGAAAUCACUAUAGAGCCAUCAACAACAGAACCAUCAACUUUUGAAAAUUGUAGCAUAACAGAUUUUGAAGAGAAUAAAAUGUUGGAUACAGAAAAAAUAAAUGUAUCCCAAGAAGAAAAUAAAUUUUCGGAGGAAAUGGAUAAAGAAAAUGAUUUAAGUCAGGAAUGUUUUGAAGAUGCUUCUGAAGGUGAAAUUCUUCCUGUUAUAAUUUUAAAUGACCAAGGUGUAGAGUUACCUUACCAGAGCCUCAGUAAUAAAAGUUUGAAGCCUACGUCCUCUACAGAAUCUGUGGCCUCAAGUGGUGAUCUGGUAUUUGAAGACUCCGUGCCUGAUGUAGCAAUGAUCACUGAAAGAGAGAGUCCAAGUAUCGUUGAUCGUAAGGGCAAAUAUAACAAAGGAAAGGCACCUCUUCCACCAAAUGCAAAAACUAGCGUCGAUCCGGAACCAGUUUUUACAGAAGAAAGUCAGAACCCAUCUAGCCAAACUAUUGUGACUGAACCAGAUUUAAUAACAACAACCCCUUCUAAUAAUCAAGUUUCAGAAUCUGAAUCUUUCGCUGAGCACUCCAUUGGUAAUGAUUUAAGCAUUGGAAAUGGUUUUCAAGAAAGUGAGAGAGACAAUAUUACACCUUAUGGUAAAAGAGAUGCAAGUCCAACUCCAAGCAACAAAAGCAAGAAAGAUGGUUCAGGUUUUUCAAAGUUUUUACCAAAAAGUAGUAUGGGCUCUCUGUUUGGUUUUUGGAACAACGAGAGCUCAUCAGGAAAAAAAUCAAGUACUGUCCAAAGAUCCCCUUCAAAUGUAAGCACAAGGCCCCCUUCAUCGGAAAUGUUUUAUUCCAAUGCUGAUUACACACAUUCGUCUAGUGGCCAUGAGAGCACUGGUAGCACUACUCCAAAACUAAGAAUUCGGCAAAUGUCUCAUUCGCCUUCUCGUAAAAAACGCCACGACUAUGAAUGAUUUGAAACAAUCUAAGAUAUAUCUGCAUCUGAGGUUUUGUUUUAAUCCUGUUUCUUUUCUAAGUCCAAUAGUGUAAAAGCUGCUUUGUGGAAGUUUUAAGCCAUUGAACCAUUCAAAGAUAAAAUGAUACCGACAUUAUAAAACUGGCUAAACAAUUAACUGAACUCCAAAGUAAAUUUAAUUUUCCCAUCCUAUGCCCUCAGUCCUUGUUUCCCUUUGUUAGAAUUGAUUCUGCAUGGUAUAGGUUAGGUUUCAGUGCUGUGUGCUAUUUCCCCUUCAUGUCCCAAGGUCCCACAUUGGGCUGAAUAUUGUUACGCCGGCGAUCAGCUUCUGGCAAGAGUCACCAUCUCACAUCCCACCCAUCUAUGCAACACUACC